rnacentral:misc_RNA from 1 species
UAAAUUCAAGAAUCUGAAAUCUAUAUCCAGGGUAUCCAAAAGCUCAUCUCUCUUCAAGCAUUAGAUAUUCAGUUAUGCCAGGAACUCCAUUCCAUCCCAGAUGAGGGCUUCCCUGCUACACUGGAAGAACUAUCUGUUUCCUGCUGUCCUCUACUGCAAGACCGUUGCUUAAAAGAUAGAGGAGGAGAUUACUGGCCCAUUAUUUCUCAUAUCCCCCGUAUCCGAAUAAAUUAAUUAAGGCUCUGCAGUACCCCAGCAAUCAGACUUCUGUUGUGAGUUGGGACAAACAAGGAAUUUUGUAUCUGCAGCAUUCCAUCAAUCAGGGA